GACGAACGCUGGCGGCGUGCUUAACACAUGCAAGUCGAACGGUGACGAGGAGCUUGCUCCUCCGAUCAGUGGCGAACGGGUGAGUAACACGUGAGCAACCUGCCCCUCACUCUGGGAUAACAGUUGGAAACAGCUGCUAAUACCGGAUACGACACAGACAGGCAUCUGUACUGUGUGGAAAGUUCUUCGGUGAGGGAUGGGCUCGCGGCCUAUCAGUUUGUUGGUGGGGUAAUGGCCUACCAAGACGACGACGGGUAGCCGGCCUGAGAGGGCGACCGGCCACACUGGGACUGAGACACGGCCCAGACUCCUACGGGAGGCAGCAGUGGGGAAUAUUGCACAAUGGGCGAAAGCCUGAUGCAGCGACGCCGCGUGAGGGAUGACGGCCUCGGUUGUAACGUAC
rnacentral:rRNA from 1 species